rnacentral:lncRNA from 1 species
CGAGAAGUCAAAAAGGAACAACGGGAUGGUGAAGGCAAAAUGGUGACUCAAAAUUCCAGACAAGAGAUUGCGGAGGGCAAAGGUCAAGUUGGGAAGAUGGAGAAGCACAACAUCAGGAGUAUCUGACAACAGUUAAGAAGCAGAUUUUAGGCUCACCAAGAAACAGACAUAGAAUCCUGUUAGAAAUUAAAAGUGGAUUGGAGAAGAAACUGAUGCUGAGGCUGAAACAAGGCUUCUCACCUCUCUCCUACAAAUUGAAUAUACCCAUGUAAGAAGAGAAGCAGAGAGAAA